rnacentral:rRNA from 1 species
GUUAAAGGUUCUAAAUACCCUGAAGGCAUCUGAUCACGUCUGAUCUUGGAUGAUAAGCAGUGUUGAUCCUGGUGAGUACUUGAAUGGAUGCCCACUAUUGAAUACCAAGUGCUGUAGGCU